CCAGAGAUGGAUUGGUGGCCUUCGGGAACUCUGACACAGGUGCUGCAUGGCUGUCGUCAGCUCGUGUCGUGAGAUGUUGGGUUAAGUCCGUAACGAGCGCAACCCUUGUCCUUAGUUACCAGCACGUUAUGUGGGCACUCUAAGGAGACUGCCGGUGACAAACCGGAGGAAGGUGGGGAUGACGUCAAGCCAUCAUGGCCCUUACGGCCUGGGCUACACACGUGCUACAAUGGUCGGUACAAAGGGUUGCCAAGCCGCGAGGUGGAGCUAAUCCCAUAAAACCGAUCGUAGUCCGGAUCGCAGUCUGCAACUCGACUGCGUGAAGUCGGAAUCGCUAGUAAUCGUGAAUCAGAAUGUCACGGUGAAUACGUUCCCGGGCCUU
rnacentral:rRNA from 1 species